rnacentral:snRNA from 1 species
AGAGGGGUGACCAUUCCCGGAGGUGCUGCAAUACCAGAUUGCUGCAUGGAGUGGACAGUGCAAGCUCUCAUUCUAUCUCCCAGAUCCAAAAGUCCAUUUUUACAAUGUUAUCCUCAUACAAAGGAUGUAUUAAACUGAUAAGAACAGAUAUCACACUUCACCUUAGCCAAAGGACAGGAAGUGAU